rnacentral:RNase_P_RNA from 1 species
GAGGAAAGUCCGGGCUCCACAGGGCAGGAUGCUGGCUAACGGCCAGGCGUCGCGAGGCGACGGAAAGUGGAACAGAGAGCAGAACCGCCGAUGGCCGGCCGGUGCACCCGCAAGGGUAGCCGGUGGCACAGGCAAGGGUGAAAAGGUGGACUCCUUCGGGAGCCGCCGGGGGGAACCCCGGCGCGGUAAGAGCGCACCGCGGACGCAGUGAUGUGGACGGCAGGCUAAACCCCAUCCGGAGCAAGACCAAAUAGGGGUACAUUGGCGUGGCCCGCGCUGUACCCGGGUAGGUUGCUUGAGCUUGUCGGUAACGGCAAGACUAGAGGAAUGGCUGUCCAACGACAGAAUCCGGCUUA